GGAGAGCUCUGCCGGCGGGAGGGCACGCAGCGCUGUGCGUGGCAGCUUGAGUGGGGAGAUGCGCUGUUUCUCCCUCUUUUUUUUUUUUUUUUUUUCCCCCUUCUUUUUCUCUUUAAACGUUAUGAUUUUUUAUUAUUAUUAUUUUAAUUUCAUUUAUGUAUCCGUUUUAUUUUGCAAUCGUCGACCAGUUAUUUGGCUCAGAGAAAAGUUACGCAAAAGGGCACUGCCGCCCAAGGACUGCACUCGGCAGGAGCCGCUCUUCAGAUCGUGGCUAGAGGAAGACACCUACAAAAAACUCCACCGUUCUCUGCAUUUGUAAGUUUCCAAAGAAAAGUACGCCUCUUUCCCUUUUCUCCUGGAAGACGCAAGCCACGGCUCUUCUUUAGGCAUUUCUAAUUUGUUCCGUCCGUCAGAGCGGCACUAAGAGAGGUUUGGUGCAAAUUCAUUAUCUCUGGCAACGCACAGCGCGGAGCAGGAACUGAAAAAAAGACCGUGGCAAUGGAUGAACAAUGGGGCUUCAGUUCGUCGGCAACAAAAGCUGUGGGGAAAUCGGUUGGAUUUCAGAGCACGUCCUCCUCGGCAGAGAGGGCUGGACUAGACCUUGGCCAACCCCCCCAAAAAACUUGCGGAACAUCUCAUGCAGGACUUCACUUUCUCUACCGGGACUUAAGAGUCAAUAUAUAUUAAAAAAAAAAAAAAAAAAAAAAAAAGGGAGGGCGGUAAGGUGGGAUCAGAAAACUUUCUGCCAUCGUCUCCUAUUUUUCUGGAUAGAGGAUGCCGAGCUACUCUAAAGCCAUUUGUCGCAAGAACAGCAACGUGGAACUACGCGGAACUUUUAAAGCAGAUGGAAGAUGGAGGAACGACGUGAAUUUUGGAGAUUUGCCCGCGGGGAUCUUUAUAUGUGCCUUACCGCCGGAACCGGGGGGGGAGAACCCCCCCCCACCCUCGGAGCCGCAGCGAUAUUUAAACAAUGCAGACAGAGCACAGGGAAUGACAUCCAAGGCACAACACGGUAAUAUGUUUUUCCUUAUUAAAGUUGGACGGUGCUCUGUGUGUUACAUACAGAUUCUAUAAAUGCGUGGUGCCUAGAAGCGUGCAUUGCUUCCGUGUGUGAUUACUGACCGAGUGCGUGUUUCAUUUUUUUUUUUUCCUUGAGAUGCUGUUUUCUCGAUAGUUCGCCUGCUCUUAUUGCACAGUUCGGAUUCGUGCUGACAUCCCCUUGCAUGCCAGCAGCAGUACCGCCGGGGGUGCCGGUGCGGCGGCACCGCGGUCACCAGAGGGACGAUAAGGGCAGCUCUAUGGGAAGCGGCUCUCCUGGCUGCGGGAGCGGGACGCUGCGGGAGCGCUGCCCGCCGCGAGCUGCCGCGUCGUGGUUCCUCUCCGCGUGAAUUCCGCUCGGCUGUAGUGCGGAAUGGGGUUUGUGCCGUGCUGCACCUUUUCCCGUGGUUCCUGCGCGGAAGGCGGAGUGCCGGCAUGAAGCCCGGCUCUGAUUGCGUUAAUUGGAGCGUCGUGAGCAUUCCUCUUUCAGGCAAAUAGGGACUGUUUAUUCUUAAGAAAUCCGUGCAGGAUGCUUCUUCUUUACGUCACAGCCAUCUGGAGACCUAUAAAAAGAUUAGACAACAAGCAUGGCAAUCACAUACUGAUCUACAGGCCAUAAGCAGAAGUUCAUUAGGGAGGUGGGAGGAAAAAGUAAACGUUUGGGUUUGGUGUCUCACAAUAUGCAGCUCGUCUACAAAGGCUUUUGGAAUAAGUACGCUUUGUACUGUUAUGUUAUCUGGGAAUAAAAUUGCACAUAGUGUUGAUCUGAUGGUCA
ensembl:lncRNA